ensembl:snRNA U6 U6 spliceosomal RNA
GCUUGCUUCAGCCGCACAUAUACUAAAACUGGAAUGAUACCGAGGUCAGCAUGGCCCCUAGGCAAGGAUGACAUGCAGAUUUGUGAAGCAUAAAACAUAAAA